CUACGCUGCAGCUAGCAUAACCUGUUGUGAAUGCUAAGGCUACUUAGCAUGACCAGCGCUGAUGGCAGAUUUUCCUUUGGUCUCUGCAGGAGCUCUGCUGUGUGCUCUCUCAAUUCUGGCUGAAGGUCUAAGGCCAGACAACGCUCUGGAAACAUCGCUGGGCCGCCAUGAAAAAUCAACACAGGAGGAAGCAGGUGAAGAGUGUGACAGCUGAGCUGCAGGAAAAGAUUGCUGUGUUGUUGACAGCGGGGAAAAAGUUUACCUGGGACCGGAAGAAAACAACGGCAAACCAGAAAGUCAGGACGAGCGAGCGACAAACAAAACAAAACAAAUAAAAACAUGGCAGUCUGAAAAAUUUCAUCCAAAAUGAUUUUGUGGGCUGCAAAAGUAUUCACUUUAACACAUAUUUAUCAGUUUCUUUUAACUGUGCACGAAAACACCAUCAGCUUCUGGGGACAAUGACACAAAAUAUGUCUAACUGCACCUGUUAGAAUGUUUUCUCUCACUUUUAUUUAUCAUUCAGUCAUUAUUACAUGUAUUUAGCAUAAAUGCUGCC